ACCCUCCAAAUACUUUGCUGCUCAGAUCUACUUACUCCUCUGAGUGGUGAUAAAAGGAGGAAAAGUAAAACUGAGGUGAGCUUGGGGUCUUGAAUGACUUACAAGUUCAUUUCAAACAUCA
ensembl:snoRNA